CGCUGGCGGCGUGCAUAACACAUGCAAGUCGAACGAUGAAACUUAGAUGAUUUCUUCGGAAUGAACUUAAGCGGAUUAGUGGCGAACGGGUGAGUAACACGUGAGUAACCUGCCUUACACAAGGGGAUAGCCUUUGGAAACGAAGAAUAAUACCCUAUAACGUCAAUUUAUCGCAUGAUAGAAUGACCAAAGAUUUAUCGGUGUAAGAUGGACUUGCGUCUGAUUAGCUAGUUGGUGAGAUAAAGGCCCACCAAGGCAACGAUCAGUAGCCGGCUUGAGAGAGUGUACGGCCACAUUGGGACUGAGACACGGCCCAAACUCCUACGGGAGGCAGCAGUGGGGAAUUUUGCACAAUGGGGGAAACCCUGAUGCAGCGACGCCGCGUGAUUUAGAAGGCCUUCGGGUUGUAAAAAUCUUUUUUAUGGGAUGAAAAUGACAGUACCAUAAGAAUAAGGUCCGGCUAAAUACGUGCCAGCAGCCGCGGUAAUACGUAUGGACCGAGCGUUGUCCGGAAUCAUUGGGCGUAAAGGGUACGUAGGCGGCCCAGUAAGUUAGAAGUGAAAUAAUAUAGCUCAACUAUAUAAAGCUUUUAAAACUGCUAGGCUUGAGAGAUGGAAGGGAAAGUGGAAUUCCUAGUGUAGCGGUGAAAUGCGCAGAUAUUAGGAAGAAUACCGGUGGCGAAGGCGACUUUCUGGUCAUCAUCUGACGCUGAGGUACGAAAGCGUGGGUAGCAAACAGGAUUAGAUACCCUGGUAGUCCACGCUGUAAACGAUGAGUGUUAGGUUCUUGGAAUAAUCUGGGAGCCGCAGCUAACGCAUUAAACACUCCGCCUGGGGAGUACGCACGCAAGUGUG
rnacentral:rRNA from 1 species